rnacentral:lncRNA from 1 species
AUGACCUUGGGAGUUCCUCUUUUGGUAUCCUAUCAUUUUGCCUUUUCAUACUGUUCAUGGGGUUCUCAAGGCAAGAAUACUGAAGUGGCUUGCCAUUCCCUUCUCCAGUGGACCAUGCUCUGUCAUGAUGAUGUGAUCACUAAUCUAGAGCCAGACAUCUUGGAAUGUGAUGUCAAGUGGACCUUAGAAAGCAUCACUAUGAACAAAGCUAGUGGAGGUGAUGAAAUUCCAGCUGAGCUAUUUCAAAUCCUGAAAGAUGAUGCUGUCAAAGUGCUGCACUCAAUAUGCCAGCAAAUUUGGAAAACUCAGCAGUGGCCACAGGACUGGAAAAGGUCAGUUUUCAUUCCAAUCCCAAAGAAAGGCAAUGCCAAAGAAUGCUCAAACUACUGCACAAUUGCACUCAUCUCCCAUGCUAGUAAAGCAGUGCUCAAAAUUCUCCAAGCCAGGCUUCAGCAAUACGUGAACCAUGAAAUUCCAGAUGUUCAAGCUGGAUUUAGAAAAGGCAGAGGAACCAGAGAUCAAAUUGCCAACAUCCGCUGGAUCAUCAAAAAAGCAAGAGAGUUUCAGAAAAACAUCUAUUUCUGCUUUAUUGACUAUGCCAAAGCCUUUGACUGUGUGGAUCACAACAAACUGUGGAAAAUUCUAAAAGACAUGGGAAUACCAGACCACCUGACCUGCCUCUUGAGAAAUCUGUAUGCAGGUCAGGAAGCAACAAUUAGAACUGGACAUGGAACAACAGACUGGUUCCAAAUAGGAAAAGGAGUACGUCAAGGCUGUAUAUUGUCACCUUGCUUAUUUAACUUAUAUGCAGAGUACAUCAUGAGAAAUGCUGGGCUGGAAGAAACACAAGCUGGAAUCAAGAUUGCUGGGAGAAAUAUCAAUCACUUCAGAUAUGCAGAUGACACCACCUUUAUAGCAGAAAGUGAAGAGGAACUAAAAAGCCUCUUGAUGAAAGUGAAAGAGGAGAGAGAAAAAGUUGGCUUAAAGCUCAACAUUCAGAAAACGAAGAUCAUGGCAUCCGGUGUCAUCACUUCAUGGGAAAUAGAUGGGGAAACAGUGGAAACAGUGUCAGACUUAAUUUUUUGGGGCUCCAAAAUCACUGCAGAUGGUGAUUGCAGCCAUGAAAUUAAAAGAUGCCUACUCCUUGGAAGAAAAGUUAUGACCAACCUAGAUAGUAUAUUCAAAAGCAGAUACAUUACUUUGCCAACUAAGGUCCAUCUAGUCAAGGCUAUGGUUUUUCCUGUGGUCAUGUAUGGAUAUGGGAGUUGGACUGUGAAGAAGGCUGAGCGCUGA